rnacentral:rRNA from 1 species
UGGGGAAUUUUGGACAAUGGGCGAAAGCCUGAUCCAGCAAUGCCGCGUGUGUGAAGAAGGCCUUCGGGUUGUAAAGCACUUUUGUCCGGAAAGAAAUCCUUGGCUCUAAUACAGUCGGGGGAUGACGGUACCGGAAGAAUAAGCACCGGCUAACUACGUGCCAGCAGCCGCGGUAAUACGUAGGGUGCAAGCGUUAAUCGGAAUUACUGGGCGUAAAGCGUGCGCAGGCGGUUUGCUAAGACCGAUGUGAAAUCCCCGGGCUCAACCUGGGAACUGCAUUGGUGACUGGCAGGCUAGAGUAUGGCAGAGGGGGGUAGAAUUCCACGUGUAGCAGUGAAAUGCGUAGAGAUGUGGAGGAAUACCGAUGGCGAAGGCAGCCCCCUGGGCCAAUACUGACGCUCAUGCACGAAAGCGUGGGGAGCAAACAGGAUUAGAUACCCUGGUAGUCCACGCCCUAAACGAUGUCAACUAGUUGUUGGGGGAUUCAUUUUCAUUAGUAACGUAGCUAACGCGUGAAGUUGACCGCCUGGGGAGUACGGUCGCAAGAUUAAAACUUAAAUGAAUUGACGGGGUCAUAGCUGUUUCCU